GACGAACGCUGGCGGCGUGCCUAAUACAUGCAAGUAGAACGCACAGUUUAUACCGUAGCUUGCUACACCAUAGACUGUGAGUUGCGAACGGGUGAGUAACGCGUAGGUAACCUGCCUGGGAGCGGGGGAGAACUAUUGGAAACGAUAGCUAAUACCGCAUAAUAUUGAUUAUUGCAUGAUAAUUGAUGGAAAGAUGCUAUUGCAUCACUACCAGAUGGACCUGCGUUGUAUUAGCUAGUAGGUGAGGUAACGGCUCACCUAGGCGACGGUACAUAGCCGACCUGGGAGGGUGAUCCGCCACACUGGGACUGAGAACCGGCCCAGACUCCUACGGGAGGCCGCAGUAGGGAAUCUUCGGCAAUGGACGAAAGUCUGAACGGGCAAAGCCGCGUGAGUGAAGAAGGUUUUCGGAUCGUAAAGCUCUGUUGUAAGAGAAGAACGGGUGUGGGAGUGGAAAGUUCACACUGUGACGGUAUCUUACCAGAAAGGGACGGCUAACUACGUG
rnacentral:rRNA from 1 species